GGGGCACAGAGGCAAGGGAGGGUAGCCUACCAGGGCUGGGGAGCAGGGACUUGAACAACCUUUAGAUGGAGGAGGAUACCUUAUAAAGGUCUCUUUUAUGGGGCUCUUCUCUUACUCUACUCACCUCUUGUCUUCAUCUCCCACUUGGUCUAGUUGGGAGUGGGGAGAGCAUAUUUUGCAUUGGGACCACCAAGCCUUGAAACAGUAGGCCAGGCACUGCUCUCCCCACAAACUACAGAGAGAGAGAGAGAGAGAGUUCCCAGUCAUGUGAGGGGAAGGACUGGGGCUUCAGAUGACUUCAUCCAAAGAUCCUCAGCCCAGUGAAGAGGUGCCAUGGGGAGGAUAUGGAGAGGAUCCAGUCCAGCCUGGAGGCUUUUAGGAAGAGAUUCAUUGAGAGAUGCCAGGGGUGGAGUUUCGAAGGGAGGAGGUGAAGUGGUACCAGGCUUUCCUCUGACAUCACCUGACUGAGUCUCAGGGAGGGGCUGGGCAGCUUGCAGGACACAAAUAGCCCUGUGGACCCUGCUGGUCCCAAAGCGCUCCCAGCCUCCUUCAGCCCAGAGCCUCAGGAGCCAACCAUCACCACCAUGAGACCUUUCCUUGUUGCCUUCCUUCUGGUCACCCUGGCUGCUUGCUCCUAUGAAGCUAAUAUUUGUAGGCCUUUGGGCCAAAUUUCUGAAAUAAGCAAGGAAUCACAAAAUAGAACUUCCUCUACAUUUGAUAAAGACGUUUGGAGUAUAGUGGACAAACUACUUCGGUCAACGCAAUAUAAGAUACGUGUCUAAUCAGAAGUGAAAUAUAAAAUCAUGUUCCUAAAGGAUGACUCAUCUUCACCUUUAUCUCUCUGAGCAAAUAUCAAAUUGUAACUAGCCUUCUGGAUUUUCUGUUCCUCUUGUCAGUGAAGAACCUAAUUCCUGUAGAAUGUAAUGAGAAAAACAGCCUGUGAUCCUGAGGUCUUGUUUUAAAUCUUUCUGUCAAUAAAUCAAAUGCAAAGCAAUUCUGGUCCA
rnacentral:lncRNA from 1 species